UUUUUGGCUUACUCAGAGUUUUUGUAGGAGUGGGUGUUGUGUUGGGAGCCAGACGUUUGCUGGAUUCCCUCUCUAAGAUAACAUUACCUAAUGUUGCAGUUUGUUGAUGCUGUUGUAUAGCAGAAGAGAAACUACUGUUUGAGGCAAGGCUUUCUGGAGCGCGCAUAUAUGUCAUUCUUUGGAUUUUCCCGGCAAAAGAGACCCACUCCCUUCACAUGAAAAUCAGUCUACAGACUUUUAUAGGUGUAACCCAGGUUAAAAUUUGUCCAUAUAUAUAUUAAAUGUUUGUAUAUUGGUUUGGCUGUCCCUUUUAAUAUAUCUGCGCGUGAGUACGUGCCCUGCGACCUUACGUAACUCCAGUCAUGUGACUGUGCUUAGCCAAUCGCGCUUUGGAGCACGAGUGUUUAACCGGAGCGCGGCGUACUCCUCAUUCAGAGGUGUGGGGAAGCCGAUCGACAGCUGUGGAUAGGUACCUCGGACACACAAAGUCCUGCUUCAGGUUCUUUGCCUCGUCACACACGUGGAUGACCAUGUUGGGGCUGUGUUCAAAGAAGAUAAGCAGCGAAAAUGGAAAACAUGUGCUUUGUGUGACAUCUCCUCCUCAUGGACUGCACCAGAUUUUCCAGUUCUUGAUGUGAGAUGUUACCCCACACUUCCACCAAGGCACUUGCAAAUUCCCGGACAUUUCUGGGGGGGAAUGGCCCUAGCCCUCACCCUCCAAUCCAAAAG